CCGGUUUAGACCUCUGUUGCUGUGCAGCGCCAGUAGCACACUCAGGUGUGCACGUUGAUCGCUCCUUCUUCUGGUGGCCUGUGUAAAUUGCCUGAUCCUCCUCCCAGCCAGAGGCACUACACAUAGAGCUUGUGGAAAGGCCAGUUCGUGGUGUUGGUGGUGGACUUUCCGGGUGGUGGUACUCUUUUGAUUUGCUG